rnacentral:tRNA from 1 species
GGGCCCGUAGCUCAGUUUGGGAGAGCGCUAGAAUCGCACUCUAGAGGUCGUCGGUUCGAUCCCGAUCGGGUCCAC